rnacentral:rRNA from 1 species
GAUGAACGCUGGCGGCGUGCUUAAUACAUGCAAGUCGAGCGAAGCGCUUUAACGGAAUUCUCCGGAAGGAAGGUAAAGUGACUGAGCGGCGGACGGGUGAGUAACGCGUGGGUAACCUGCCUUAUACAGGGGGAUAACAGUUAGAAAUGGCUGCUAAUACCGCAUAAGCGCACAGGGCCGCAUGGCCCGGUGUGAAAAACUCCGGUGGUAUGAGAUGGACCCGCGUCUGAUUAGGUAGUUGGUGAGGUAACGGCCCACCAAGCCGACGAUCAGUAGCCGACCUGAGAGGGUGACCGGCCACAUUGGGACUGAGACACGGCCCAA